rnacentral:rRNA from 1 species
CAGCCGCCACGGUAAUACGUAGGUGGCAAGCGUUGUCCGGAGUUAUUGGGCGUAAAGGGCUCGCAGGCGGUUUCUUAAGUCUGAUGUGAAAGCCCCCGGCUCAACCGGGGAGGGUCAUUGGAAACUGGGAAACUUGAGUGCAGAAGAGGAGAGUGGAAUUCCACGUGUAGCGGUGAAAUGCGUAGAGAUGUGGAGGAACACCAGUGGCGAAGGCGACUCUCUGGUCUGUAACUGACGCUGAGGAGCGAAAGCGUGGGGAGCGAACAGGAUUAGAUACCCCUGUAGUCCCUGUCUCUUAUAU